rnacentral:rRNA from 1 species
CCUACGGGUGGCAGCAGUGGGGAAUAUUGGGCAAUGGGCGCAAGCCUGACCCAGCAACGCCGCGUGUAUGAAGAAGGCCUUCGGGUUGUAAACUUCUUUUAUUGAGGAGGAAACAAAUACCGGUAAUAAACGAAUAAGUCGCGGCUAAAUACGUGACAGCAGCCGCGGUAAUACGUAGGUGGCAAGCUUGAUCCGGAUUUACUGGGUGUAUAGGGCGUGAAGGCGGGACGUCAAGUCAGAGGUGAAAACCAUGGGCUGAACCCAUGGCCUGCAUUUGAAACUGGAGUGCUUGAGUGAUGGAGAGGCAGGCAGAAUUCCGUGUGUAGCGGUGAAAUGCGUAGAGAUACGGAGGAACACCGGUGGCGAAGGCGGCCUGCUGGACAUUAACUGACGCUGAGGCGCGAAAGCGUGGGGAGCAAACAGGAUUAGAUACCCCAGUAGUC